rnacentral:rRNA from 1 species
AACGAACGCUGGCGGCAGGCCUAACACAUGCAAGUCGAGCGGACCCUUCGGGGUUAGCGGCGGACGGGUGAGUAACGCGUGGGAAUAUGCCCUUCUCUACGGAAUAGUCCUGGGAAACUGGGGGUAAUACCGUAUACGCCCUUUGGGGGUAAGAUUUAUCGGGGAAGGAUUAGCCCGCGUUGGAUUAGGUAGUUGGUGGGGUAAUGGCCUACCAAGCCGACGAUCCAUAGCUGGUUUGAGAGGAUGAUCAGCCACACUGGGACUGAGACACGGCCCAGACUCCUACGGGAGGCAGCAGUGGGGAAUCUUAGACAAUGGGGGCAACCCUGAUCGAGCCAUGCCGCGUGAGUGAUGAAGGCCUUAGGGUUGUAAAGCUCUUUCAGCUGGGAAGAUAAUGACGGUACCAGCAGAAGAAGCCCCGGCUAACUCCGUG